CAUGGUUUCCGACCCCGUGAGGGCGGACCAAGAGGGAACCGCGUGAGAAUCGCGGGCUGUCGCGCAACUGUGAGACCCGAUUGUCGUCGGCAACGGUAAGCCAUUGGGGCCCAAGGCUCUGAGAAGGCAUGCCGACGGAGGGAAAGCCAGGAGACCUGCCAUGUGC
rnacentral:ncRNA from 1 species